UACUUUCAAUUUGUGCCGAUGCAGAGAAACUGAAUAGGUUGCUCGUUAACUGCAUUGUAUUUACGUAUAUUACAAAUUGAUAUAAACUGAGAGAAAGUAUCAAGAUAUUCACGAGCACUUGAGUCACUGGACUGAAGCUGUAUUUCUUCACUUUUGAAUUUGAAUCUCGGCCAGGUUUUUAGAUACAAUAGAAUUCUUCCGGAUGGAAGAUGGCGAGCCAGUUACCCUUGAUCAUUGGAUCCAUGGAGUCUUUGAUUGCUGUUGAUGUCUCACCAGAUUUCAUGACUGGACUGAUUUCCACAAAAGGAAAUAUAUUUUUUUGAACCGGAGAGACUGAACUGGAAAAAAAGACAAACACAUACACUGAUUUCGCACCACACUUUAAUACUGUUUUGGGAUAUAAAAUUGUUCUUUGUUGUUGAAAAAAAUAUACAUUUCAUGUAAAAAAGUAA